AGUGAACGCUGGCGGUAGGCCUAACACAUGCAAGUCGAACGGCAGCACAGUAAGAGCUUGCUCUUACGGGUGGCGAGUGGCGGACGGGUGAGGAAUACAUCGGAAUCUACUUUUUCGUGGGGGAUAACGUAGGGAAACUUACGCUAAUACCGCAUACGACCUACGGGUUAAAGCAGGGGAUCUUCGGACCUUGCGCGAUUGAAUGAGCUGAUGUCGGAUUAGCUAGUUGGCGGGGUAAAGGCCCACCAAGGCGACGAUCCGUAGCUGGUCUGAGAGGAUGAUCAGCCACACUGGAACUGAGACACGGUCCAGACUCCUACGGGAGGCAGCAGUGGGGAAUAUUGGACAAUGGGCGCAAGCCUGACCCAGCCAUACCGCGUGGGUGAAGAAGGUCUUCGGGUUGUAAAGCCCUUUUGUUGGGAAAGAAAAGCAGCAGGUUAAUCCCCCGCUGUUCUGACGGUACCCAAAGAAUAAGCAACGGCUAACUUCGUG
rnacentral:rRNA from 1 species